rnacentral:lncRNA from 1 species
UCCUUUCCAUCCCUGCCCUUAGAAACCUAAUCGAUGCCCUCGAAACUAACUACACGCCUCCUCAUCUUCCCUGUUCAGUUAAACCCUUUAUGAAGCCAGUUAAAGCACCUACCAGUUAAACCCUUUAUGAAGCCAGUUAAAGCACCCUCGAAACUAACUACACGCCUCCUCAUCAUCCCCAAUUGAGUAUUUUGUUGUUUGUUAGGGUUUGAGAUUUGAGAUUUAGGUCAAUGGCUCUCCUCGGUAAAUACCCAAUGCUCCUUCAUCUUCUAUAAAACUCUACAAGAACAUAAGCCUGGAUCGUAAGAAGCAUUCUCAGGAUCACCACUUUUCCCAUUCAAGAACAGAAGGGGGGUCAAGAACAUCAUCGCAUAGUUCGUAAUUCUGGUUACGUUUAAGCAGUCGGAAUCGGCGAAAAAAGCGUGUGAAGAUCCGACGCCGGUGAUUAACGGCCGUCGUGUGAAUUGUAACCUAGCGUCGCUCGGUGCUCGCCGUCAGAGAACGUUAACCGUUGUUCACCGCCACCGCACCACCAAUCCGUUUAGUCCAAAAUAAGAUCAUUUGGGAAGAAUGAUGAUGGAAGAGAAAAUCGGUCAGAUGGUUCAGAUUCAAAUGCUUGCAGCUACUCCUGAUAUCAUGAGGAAACUUACUAAUUGGUGGAGGGAGUGUUGAUUGGAUUAAUAUGCUACACGAGCUCCAACAUUUUCUACAUGAUCAUGGAUCCAAUGAUUUAUGGAAUUGUUGCUGAUCAUAGUCACAACAAUGUUAUUUAUGCUACAAUAUUUCCACAUAUUAUUGGCCACAUAGAUACCAGGGACACUAAUCUUGUGAAGAGAAUAGGUGCAACCACUAUCGCUGAAGUCAGAGCUAUCGGAAUUUCAUAUGCAUUUGCUCCUUGUAUUGAUGUAAGUAUAAUAAAAUAUUUAAGUAUGUGUCUAUAAAGAACUGUUUUUAUAGGUAUGCAGAGAUCUAAUAUGGGGACGUGCUAUGAGAGUUACAGCGAGGAUAAUGAACUUGUUCAAAGUAUGAAUAAGAUUGUAUUAGGAUUGCAAGGUGAAAAUUUUCAGGGAUCACGGUUGGGUGUCCCAUAUGUUGAUAGGGUUGGUGGUGGAGGUGAUGAUUUCAUAUAUUUAAACUUCUAAUUUACAUACUUAAGGUAAAUCAUAAAUUGAUGAUAUCUUUGCAUUCAAGCAGUUUAAAUGGGCAGAUUAUAACAAGUAGUAUUUAGCGUGCAACAAUACAAGUCGGUUCGGGUCGGGUCGGGUCGUGCUGAGUGUAGGCUGCCAUAGUUAGAGAAGUUCCUUUUCACUUAUUUAGUUUGUUUUAAGUCUCCAUUUAUCUUCAUCAUUAGCUGUAGAAACUCACUUUCCUGUUUGAAUGUAACCUAACCAAGUUGCCCUAUUGAUGGAGCAUGUGCAGUGGGUUUAUCGUUUGAUCAUUCUUAUUAUAUCUUGAUUAAUAACAUAUAUGACUUGUGAUCAAACUUUUUUAACUAGGGUUUAUUUUAUUUAAAUUACUUAUUUCUUUAUCAUUAUUUUUUAACCCCAUACAAAAUACAGUGGGUUUGACUCUCACCACAAACUUUCACAUAUGUUACUGCAGGCUUGGAAGUGGA